AUUGAACGCUGGCGGCAUGCCUUACACAUGCAAGUCGAACGGUAACGCGGGGGCAACCCUCGGCGACGAGUGGCGAACGGGUGAGUAAUACAUCGGAACGUACCCAGUAGUGGGGGAGUAGCUCGGCGAAAGCCGGAUUAAUACCGCAUACGACCUAUGGGUGAAAGCGGGGGAGUCNCAAGACCUCGCGCUAUUGGAGCGGCCGAUGUCGGAUUAGCUAGUUGGUGAGGUAAAGGCCAC
rnacentral:rRNA from 1 species